UAUGUAGUCUGCUGCAUGCA
rnacentral:rRNA from 1 species